GCUCCAGUGGCCUAGCGGUUUGAUCAUCCACCUCAGAUGUGGGUUGUCAUGGGUUCAAUCCCCAGUCGAGUCA